UACGGGGGAGCAAGCGUUGUUCGGAUUUACUGGGCGUAAAGGCGCGUAGGCGGUCAGCACAAGUCAGUUGUGAAAUCUCCGGGCUUAACUCGGAAAGGUCAACUGAUACUGUGCGACUAGAGUGCGGAAGGGGCAACUGGAAUUCUCGGUGUAGCGGUGAAAUGCGUAGAUAUCGAGAGGAACACCUGCGGCGAAGGCGGGUUGCUGGGCCGACACUGACGCUGAUGCGCGAAAGCCAGGGAGCGAACGGG
rnacentral:rRNA from 1 species